rnacentral:rRNA from 1 species
CCUACGGGGGGCUGCAGUGGGGAAUUUUCCGCAAUGGGCGAAAGCCUGACGGAGCAAUCUCGCGUGAGGGAUGACGGCCUAUGGGUUGUAAACCUCUUUUUUCAGGGAGGAACAAAAUGACGUGUACCUGAAGAAUAAGCAUCGGCUAACUCCGUGCCAGCAGCCGCGGUAAGACGGAGGAUGCAAGUGUUAUCCGGAAUCACUGGGCGUAAAGCGUCUGUAGGUGGUUUGAUAAGUCAACUGUUAAAUCUUGAAGCUCAACUUCAAAAUCGCAG